AUUGAACGCUGGCGGCAGGCUUAACACAUGCAAGUCGAGCGGAGAUGAGGUGCUUGCAUCUUAUCUUAGCGGCGGACGGGUGAGUAAUGCUUAGGAAUCUGCCUAUUAGUGGGGGACAACAUUCCGAAAGGAAUGCUAAUACCGCAUACGUCCUACGGGAGAAAGCAGGGGAUCUUCGGACCUUGCGCUAAUAGAUGAGCCUAAGUCGGAUUAGCUAGUUGGUGGGGUAAAGGCCUACCAAGGCGACGAUCUGUAGCGGGUCUGAGAGGAUGAUCCGCCACACUGGGACUGAGACACGGCCCAGACUCCUACGGGAGGCAGCAGUGGGGAAUAUUGGACAAUGGGGGGAACCCUGAUCCAGCCAUGCCGCGUGUGUGAAGGAGGCCUUAUGGUUGUAAAGCACUUUAAGCGAGGAGGAGGCUACUGAGACUAAUACUCUUGGAUAGUGGACGUUACUCGCAGAAUAAGCACCGGCUAACUCUGUGCCAGCAGCCGCCGUAAUAC
rnacentral:rRNA from 1 species